rnacentral:rRNA from 1 species
UACGAAGGGGGGCUAGCGUUGCUCGGAAUUACUGGGCGUAAAGGGCGCGUAGGCGGAUAGUUUAGUCAGAGGUGAAAGCCCCAGGGCUCAACCUUGGAAUUGCCUUUGAUACUGGCUAUCUUGAGUUCGGGGAGAGGUGAGUGGAAUGCCGAGUGUAGAGGUGAAAUUCGUAGAUAUUCGGCGGAACACCAGUGGCGAAGGCGACUCACUGGCCCGAUACUGACGCUGAGGCGCGAAAGCGUGGGGAGCAAACAGGG